rnacentral:lncRNA from 1 species
CUGGAGGCUCUUCCCAGCCUUUAUGUACCAGGGGCUAAGAAACAGGCAGGUCAGAAUCUUACCGGUAGCUGAAGCUAGAAAAUGUAAAGCACUAAAGCUAUCAGAGGACCCACUUCUUUUUUUUUGUAAUAUAGUGAUGAACUUGAACUCCUGGCCUCAAGCAAUCCUUCCACCUUGGUCUCCCAAAGAGCUAUAAGCUAUAAGCUAUAAGCCACUGUACCCAGCAAAGGCCCCAUUUCAACAUGCAGAGCAAGUCAGUGUGCAAUGAAGGGAGAGAUACUUUACUUAUGGUAACACUGGUAAUGUCCUGAUUGCUGUUAAGUUCCCAAUUUCAGUAAUGCCUGAAGCCCUACUAUAUCCUUGUUCUUUGUGGCCAGAUUCUUUAACUUUCCCUUGGAUUGAAGUAGACUCCCCCAAAUCCUUCUUCUUGUUAAAGUAGCUUGAAUUGGAGUCACAGGAACAAUUGUCCAGAAGCCUGUAACAAUUAAUUCCCACUGGAGCAGGAGAUGAGGAUACCCUGCUGGCAAUGAGCAUUUUAUUUCUCUCGCUUUAAUAAUUUGUAAUGGUUUUAAUUUACAUUUAUUUAACUACCAGUGAGGUUAGAUUUUUUUCAUAUGCUUAUUAGCCAUUGGUAUUUCUCUUUUAUAUAUUGAUAUAGUUUGGAUAUUUGAUCCCACACAAAACUCAUGUUGAAUUGUAAUCCCUGGUGCUGGAGGUGGGGCCUCGUGGGAGGUGUUUGGGUCAUGGGGGCGGAUCCUUCAAUGACUUGGUCCUGUCUUUGUGAGAGUAAGUUCUUGUGAGACUGGGUCAUUUAAAAGUGUGUGUGGCACCUCCCCCAUCACUCUCUCUCUUGCUCCUGCUCUUCCAUGUGAGACACCUGCUCCCACUUUGCCUUCUGCCACGAUUGGAAGUUUCAUGAGGCCUCCCCAGAAGCUGAGAAGAUGCUGGUAUGCUUCCUGUACAGCCUGUAGAACAGUGAACCAAUUAAAUUUAUUUUCUUUAGAAAUUAUCCAGUCUCAGGCAUUUUUUAAUAGCAAUGCAAGAAUGGCCAAAUACAUGUAUGUUGGUAAUAUCAGCCUUACCAGUCUUGGCAGAAUGUCUGUCCCAAGAGGAAAAGUGGUCUCCACAGACAUUUGCUUAAAAUUCACCUACUCUAAGCUCUGUUCCCAAGAAUACUGGCCUUUCCAUGCUGAAAUGCUGGUGUACAUUCUGAGGCCUCAAGCAAAGCAUGAGAAGGAGUCACCAUUUCUCCUAGAACCAUCCUUCUGAGGACUCUCAGGACAAAUUGAGCAUGCAGUUGUGAACUCAGAUGCUGGAGAAGUUUCUCCAACUGAAGUUGGCUUAAGUUUGCUCUGGGUUGUGCUGCAGUGAGCUUUGGAGACAAGGUGUUUGAUGCUGCAAUUCAGUGAAUUAGCUUCCUCUGGGCCUUGAGAAUACCUGAUCCCACCCCCAUCUUCUGUCCUUGCUUCUCUUGAUUGAUACCAGUUGAAGAUUUGAACUUUGAUCUUGUUUGCCUGUCUCCUUUGUGAUGCAUAAUGACUUACAUAUGUUUAAGUAGAAUAUUUAUGAUAAAACCACCUGGUUUCUCUAAAGAAUACUAGGAGGAAUGACUCAUUUUUCCCCCUGAUUAGAGUGCAGAACAUUGCCUUUUUGGUUUUAGUUUUGUCUAGCAGUACUUCUGCUAUUGUGACAAAUGUUAUGGAGCACUGUGUACCAAAAUAGAUGUCGUAUCCAUCUCAAAUCACCGACACUAACAAUAGAAAGGAAAAGUAAUUAAAAAUAAAACCUCUCAAAAGAACACAUCCUCCAAGGAAAGGAAAAUGAGACGUAGCAUGUUAAUUCCACAAGCAGACGCAUCUAAAGCCUCUCUCGGGAUAGUGGAAAACACAGCAAACAUCUGGGAGAUUUCAACUGUGAAAGAAAAUUAUAAUCAUUGGUUACAAAGACUUUUCGUGCCCCUUGCUUGUAAACAGUCGAAUAAGUCCAUGGAAAAGUAUAUACAUAGGAGGAAUCAUGAAAUCUCAAACUAAAUAUCCCUAGUCAGGAUAAAAGAGUAAAUUUCGGGCAGAAAUUCAGGAAACUACUGGAAAAAAAAUCUGUUUCCAAAUCUGAACUUUAGAAUACAACUCAUAAAUCAGCCCCCAAUUACCUCACUGGCCUUGUGGCCUGCAAUCCUCCCACACUGGCCCCUCCUGGCUGCUUGAAUAUAUUAGGGCUUCUCACUCGCUGGUGCUACUGCCUAGUAUGCUCUGUGUAAGUGUGGCUUUCUCCCUCACUUCCUUCAGAUGUCAGCUAACAUAUCACUUCCUAGCUUUAGUCCUGAAGGGGUUUUCCUCAUUACACUUAUUAUUUCCUGACUAAUUACACAUGCGUGUAUGCUUGGUUGUUGCUUAUCUUCCCUUUCUAGAAUGUUAGCUCCUUGAGGGAAAGGACUUUGUUUUGUUCAGUGUUAACAUUCUGGAACUUGAGAUGGUGCUUGGCUCAUGGAAAAUACACACUGGUAUUUGUUGAAUGAAUAAAUGAAAAGUAUAAAAGAAUGGGAAAAACAGAAUGUGUGGUGAUGUGACGUCCCACCCAGAUCCCUCUGUAAGGAAGGAGGACUUGUUGCCCCACAGCCUUCAGCUGUCAGCCCUUUCAGAUCACCUCAGCUGCAGAGGUGAGCUGCCAAGGUUACAUCAUUUUGUGGGUGGGCCACACACAAUGACUGAUUGAGGCAAAGGUGUGAAGAAAAGGCCAUGUGGUUUUAACACAGGAAAAAUAUGAAGUUGAGCCACAUUAACUCCGAGAUGGCCAAGGCUGCUGGUCUGAAUCAUAGGUGGGUUCCUCCCUUGAUCGACCCCACAUUUCACCUCUCCUUCCACAGGUAUUGAUCCAAGUGACACUCCCUAGUAAACAUCUCAAAACCGAAGUUCGCUUUCUAGAAAACCCAAAAUGCAACAAGAUGAAAAAACAAGAAGUAUCUCUUCUUUACAAUUUACUGUCCUAUUUCAUAACACUAUGUCUUCAUCCAAAAAUAAAUUCCUUCAUUUGGCAGAUAUCUGUGGAGAAACUAUUAUGUUUCCGGCACUGUUCUGGGCACUGAUGUGAUGGAAAUUAAAACACCAACAAGUCUCAUGAGCUCUGUGAACUUUAUAUCCUAGUAGGGUAAAAAUAAUAAGGAAGCAAAUAAAAGAAAAUUUGUGAAAGUGUUAAGAGAUGUGAGGAAAAUAGGUAGUGAGCUGAGAAGGGUGGGAGUGAUCAACUGUUUUUAACUAGGUGUCACGAGAAGGGGCUUCUGAGGCAAAGACUUCAAAGUUGAGGUUAAACUCAGGGAUCCAGGCAUGCCUGUCUUGGGGAGGUGUGGUCCACAUUGGUUUAUCACCUGCCAACUACACGCAGGCACUGGAGGGGAUACUAGGGUUGCAAAAAUCAGCACAAAAUAGUCUGUUGCUCUAAGAAGGCUAUUUUCUAAUUCAUACUCAUAAAUAAUUGGAACAUCUUAACGUAAGGGAAUCUGGGUAUUUUAUUGCCCUCUUGGUUUGAGUAGUUAAAAAAUAUUAACUGACAACACCUUUAUUGAACAGUUAAUACCUGUCAAGCCUUCUUCUAAAUAAUUUUCACAUUCUAACAGAAACAGAAAAUAAGACAGGUAUUAUUAUUACUAUAUUAAUAUUUAACAGUUAAUAAAAUCAAUGCAGAGUAGGUAAUUUCCCAGAAACAUAGUUAGCAAUCAGGAGAAGCAGAAACUAAAACCCAAUAGUCUGAUGUCAGAUCUAGCAGUCUUAAUCCUUUGUAUUAUGUUGAAAUGUCUCCUUGCCAUGCUAUUAGAUGUUAUUUCUCCUAUUGAGUUUAGAAGGGUUAUAUGUUUUUUAAAAAUAGGUGAUCUCUUCAUUUUGCAACAAUAAUUAUUUCUAUAUUCCAAUAUUCAACUAUUUUGCAAUAUGGAAAGUAAUAUAUUUUUCAUUAAAAUGACUUAUAAUAUGAUGGUGUCAUUGUUUCUAUUAGUAAUCUCAGAAAACUUGAAAGCACCAUUAUCAGUUAUU